rnacentral:rRNA from 2 species
GGAUCAAUAUUUCGGUCAUGCCGUUGGUAUGCACUGUUAUCAUUGAUUUCUCACCUUCUAAAGAACCGUAAUGCCAUUAAUUUGGUGUUACGGGGAAUUAGGACUGUCACCUUGAAAAAUUAGAGUGUUUAAAGCAGGCUCACGCUUGAAUACAUUAGCAUGGAAUAAUGAAAUAGGACAUCCGAUUCUAUUUUGUUGGUUUCUAGGAUCGAUGUAAUGAUUAAUAGGGAUAGUUGGG